CGCCGCCGCAUCCUCACUAGCCGCGGCUGCUAUAGCUACAGGGAGCCAAGGCAACCACGUCUCGCGAGACUUUCCCCGCGGACCGCGAGGCGGCUAGAGCGCGGUGUUCCACGACGUCAACCAAUAAGAGAGAAUCUGGGGAAAAGUGGGGGAGGGGGAGGAAAGAGAUGCAGACAUCUCGCGAGAAUCUCAAUGGCAGUGCAAAAUGGCGGGCGAGAGGGGUCGGUCUCUGAGGCGGUGAUCUAAGGAUAGGUCGAAGAGGAGGUGUUUCAGUGCUGGAUUUGAGAGUGGUAAAAGGCAAUGGAAUAGAAGCAGAAGCAAGAAGUGGAAAUUGCCAACUUAGGGAAAAUCUAAUGUGCUGCCUCAGGAAGUUGUGGCUCUCCAUGGGUGGAGAUCUUUAGGUACCCCUGUCUAAGGAAGUAUUGCCCAGAAUUACUAUUUGAAACGGACUCCUACUGGUUUUUGGACUUAUUUCCUGGCUCUCUAUAAACUAUUCCCCAACCCUGAAUAAAUGCCUCAUGUUAUUUCCUGAUCACCUA